rnacentral:rRNA from 1 species
AUUGAACGCUGGCGGCAGGCCUAACACAUGCAAGUCGAACGAGUGGCGGACGGGUGAGUAAUGUAUGGGAAACUGCCCGAUGGAGGGGGAUAACUACUGGAAACGGUAGCUAAUACCGCAUACCAUCGGAUGUGCCCAGAUGGGAUGAGCUUGUAGGUGAGGUAACGGCUCACCUAGGCGACGAUCCCUAGCUGGGCUGAGAGGAUGACCAGCCACACUGGGACUGAGACACGGUCCAGACUCCUACGGGAGGCAGCAGUGGGGAAUAUUGCACAAGGGGCGCAAGCCUGAUGCAGCCAUGCCGCGUGUAUGAAGAAGGCCUUCGGGGUGUAAAGUACUUUCAGUCGGGAGGCGUUACCCGCAGAAGAAGCACCGGCUAACUCCGUGCCAGCAGCCGCGGUAAUAC